rnacentral:rRNA from 1 species
AGCCUGAAGUUUUAUUUUAGGUGAUACCUGCCCAGUGCUAAUCAUGUAAACGGCCGCAGUACCUUGACUGUGCUAAGGUAGCAUAAUAAGUUGGCUUUUAAAUGGAGUCGGGAAUGAAUGGGGUUAUGGGGUUAAGCUGUCUCUAUUACAUUGACUUGAAUUUGACUAUUAGGUGAAAAUGCCUAAGGUUAGAAAAAAGACGAGAAGACCCUAGGAGUUUUUAUUAAAAGACUAUUGUUAGGCUUUCAUUUUUGUUGGGGCGACAAAGGAAGAUACCAACCUCCUUUUAAUUAUUUGCCGACUUUGUAUGAAAAACUAAACUACCCUAGGGAUAACAGCGUAAUUUUGUUAAAAAGUUUGCGACCUCGAUGUUGGACUAGGAUUUUGGUAGACUAGCCGUCUAUUUUUAUUGUUCUGUUCGAACUAUUUUUCCUACAU